UACGUAUGGGGCAAGCGUUAUCCGGAUUUACUGGGUGUAAAGGGAGCGUAGGCGGCUGUGUAAGCCAGAAGUGAAAGCCCGGGGCUCAACUCCGGGACUGCUUUUGGAACUACAUGGCUUGAUUGCAGGAGAGGCAAGUGGAAUUCCUAGUGUAGCGGUGGAAUGCGUAGAUAUUAGGAGGAACACCAGUGGCGAAGGCGGCCUGCUGGACGAUGACUGACGUUGAGGCUCGAAAGCGUGGGGAGCAAACAGG
rnacentral:rRNA from 1 species